UAUCAUCUUGAGCGUCACAGGAAGUCUUUUCAUUGGUAGUUGGUACAUUUUUGCAUAACCUUCCAGGAGAUUUCACAUGAGAAACUGAUUUCUUUACUCCUUUGGUGCUUGGGUGGCUUUUUCCAUUACUGUAACGUUCCUUUGUGGUUUUCAUUGAUUUGGCUUUCCUUUUUCUGUGCCUUUCGGUGCAGUAAUAAAGGAUGUUCCUGAAUGCCCGGUCCCAUUAUUACUCUUUUAAAGUGGUAUCUACAUCUUUAUCUUUACAUAAUCUUCCAACGACUCCAU
rnacentral:lncRNA from 1 species